rnacentral:rRNA from 1 species
AUUGAACGCUGGCGGCAUGCCUUACACAUGCAAGUCGAACGGCAGCACGGGAGCAAUCCUGGUGGCGAGUGGCGAACGGGUGAGUAAAGUAUCGGAACGUGCCCAGUCGUGGGGGAUAACGUAGCGAAAGUUACGCUAAUACCGCAUACGAUCUAUGGAUGAAAGCGGGGGAUCGCAAGACCUCGCGCGAUUGGAGCGGCCGAUAUCAGAUUAGGUAGUUGGUGGGGUAAAGGCUCACCAAGCCGACGAUCUGUAGCUGGUCUGAGAGGACGACCAGCCAAACUGGGACUGAGAAACGGCCCAGACUCCUACGGGAGGCAGCAGUGGGGAAUUUUGGACAAUGGGCGAAAGCCUGAUCCAGCCAUGCCGCGUGCAGGAUGAAGGCCUUCGGGUUGUAAACUGCUUUUGUACGGAACGAAAAGGUUUGGGCUAAUAAGCUGAGCUCAUGACGGUACCGUAAGAAUAAGCACCGGCUAACUACGUGCCAGCCGCCGCAGUAA